rnacentral:lncRNA from 1 species
AACAAGGAAGUCUUGACAUCCUCAGUGAGCAGGGCUGGAUUUUAGAAUGUUUGGAAUGGCGCUGAUUGAAGCUUUUUGAAUACAGUACUUUCAAGAUCCAAGAUACGUACAAGCGACAGCACCGACAGGAUGUGCUCGUCCGGGUUGUGGCGACUCCAUUUGUAUACCGCUUGAAAGAUAUUCAGUUCGUUGGCAAUGAAAGUUCAAGGUCCAAGGGCUUGUUCAAGUGAUUCCUUUAUAGUAUUAUGAAGGUAUCGUGUUCUAUCACCUCGGCCCCAGUGAUGCCCAUGAAAUUAAGGGAUUUCUUGAUCAGUUCUGCAAGUUUCGAUCGGCGCGCUGUAUCCAGGAUUGUACACACGGUGCAGACGAGCAGAUGCUCACGCAGAUGUUCGGUUAUUGACGAAUCGGCUUCCAACAAGCAAUACAAAUUGGCCGAACUGAGCACUUGGAAGACGACAUACACCUUCAGUGCGGAUAUGAGCAGAAAGCCCAAGUAAAUAUUGCCGAGGAUUAUCUUGUAUGCUUCCAAGAGGACCGCCGGCAGCCUUAUCUAGUGUUGUUUCGACACGGACAUGCCACCAUAGAGCAUGGCACGGAAGUAUUCACUGCGCAUCGACAAGAUAUCCAUGUAAAGGCGGUCCAUGGUGUGCACCCGAGCAGGCUCGAUCGGGUAGGCCAAAGAGGCGGGGCUUUUCUAUUUCGAGUCUGGGGUUGCCUGUAGGUGUUUUCCUGUAUUUUCUAACUUUGUUUUUUUGUUUUUUUUUUUUUUUGAGUGUUUAAGUUACCGCUCUACCCUUGGGUAGAGGGGAAUUAUUUGGCAGCCCGCCUUUACAAGGGGGAAAUCGCCACGUCGAAAUAUGUAACUUGUUACAGUUUUGCUCCAAUACUUACCUGGCGUAGAGGUUAU